GGAAGCAGCCUCCAAGGCAAUAGGAAAAAGUGGGCUCUACUGCAGGUCCUUAACCCUGCUGCAGAUCAGAGUCUGGUCACACAGGUCUUCUUCAGAUCUUUUGUGUGAACUCAGAAAAGCAUCCUCCCAGGCACAGAGCAUGGCUUGUUGUGGCUGAACAACCUUGGACAAGUUGUCAUCUUACUCUGUGUCUCAGUUUCCCCUUUUUUAUAAGAGGACAAUGACACUAGCCUAACAAGUGGAAGAAGGAAGGAAGGCAGAACUGACCAGAUCCAAGCAACAUCAAGAGCUUGCUGAAGCUUAGCUCUGUACCAUCCAGUCUGUGGUCCCCAUUUGGCAGUACCAUUCCUCUGACUAAAGGAAUCUUGUCAAGUCAUAAAGACCCAUCACAGCAAGGUGAAAACUUGGCCCAGAGAUUAAGUGCUUUGCUGGCCUUCAGAAAAUGUGAAGCAGAGACAGGUGAUGAACUCAAGUCACUUGGCGUCCUGUUAGAUCUUCUGUUACCCAAGCUGCCAGCCUGCCUUGUGGGAAACUCAGCAAGAAAUAUGGGUAAUGAACCUGCCCAAGUGCAUGGAAGAAUGGCUCUGCUGCUAAACAGCAAGUAAUUCUUUAGAUUUAAGAAAUAACAUAACUUGUAAGGAGGAAGUUUACAAAAUAUGUCAUCUGAAGACGCUGCCAUGUUUAAUGCAUUUGGUGCCAAUGAUUUGCUUUCCUUUGCUGUGCUGUUUACUGAGCAGCUGUUGCAGAGCUGUUGAGCUUGCUAUUGAAGAUGAAAGGCUGGUUGUUUUUCAAAGCCCUUUGUGUUUUUUUACUCCUAACCGGAGCUGUCAGUGCAGAUGCUUUUUAUUUCCUUUAUAACUGGAGGUCUGAAGUCCCUUCUCUAAAGAUUUUCUCAAUUCAAAGGAAGAUUUCUUUUGCUCUCAGUCCCCAAAGACUUGGAGUGUCUUUGCUCUUUUGUUUGGGCUGAAGACUCCACAGGCAAUGGCAGUGCCUUCCAAUGCGUGCUGAAAACCUUUAACCUCCAGGCAGCCAGUGUCCCAUCUGAAGCUCUUUUGAUGGGGGCUUAAGGAAUUCAUUUUGUCCUGAUUGUUUCUGUGGCCUGGGAAUGAGAACACUUCUCUUGAGCUAUAGAUGCAGUGAAAAUGUUCUGGUGAUCAUUGUGUUUACAGUAGGAGAUAAAAGAUGCUGCUUCCUAAAACAUUGUCAGAGAAGAAGAGUUAGAUGCUGUACAAACCUCCAUGAAGAGUUGCUUACUGAAGUUGUUUAAAAGCCAAGUAAUCAAGCUAUGAGAGGUCAAGUAAUUUACCCAAGAUCAUGAUAGGGUGAUGAGACGUAGAUGAGAAUUGAAAACAAGGUAUUGCUUUGAUACCUUAACAACUUAAUUUGCCUGUUAUGGUGCCAUCUCUUACACACUGAAAUAGGCUGAAUUACAGGAUUUUCUUUCUUUCAUAUAGUCUGUCAAUUGGUGUUUCUGUUACUUUGGUGGAGAAAAUCUUAGAGCUUAGAUUCUGUAUGAUUAGUCAUUUUCCCUUGCUCAAAAAAAUUCCAUCUGGUGGGUUUCUCUCAGAGUGGCAGCCUGAAGAGCAGUGCCUACCAUGCCCCUUUGAAGCACACAGUUUUCCCACCCAGCUUGCUCCAGCAGGGCUAUCUGUUAGUCAGACUGAUGCUUCUCAAUAGGUACACAGCCCCACUGGCAGGCAGUCUAUGUAAACCUGGUAACAAAGCCAUACCAAAAAGUACAGGAUCCUAAGUGUUCUCCAGAGCUCUCCCGUCAGUGCCUUCAAGUGACUUCUGACUGAUGGCAUGCUCUUCAGAUAAAUGUACUUUUCAUCUAUAAAUGUGUUUUCUGUAAAUGAUUCAUAAAAGUGAUUUCAACUGGUGUUUCCCAGGCUGGGCUUUAGUCCCACUGCUGACACCCUUCUUGAAGACCAUAUGGUAUAACUGGUGAGGAGCUGCAGAUAAGCUGCUUGUGAGUUGUGUGGGGUGAUAAAAUUCACCCAAGUACUGUCACCUUAGCUGAGUCAGAGAGUAACAGUUCACAGUCACAGUGCUCACUGUUGGCUAGAGAGGGUUUGCUCUCCUUGCUGAGCAGUUGGAGCACUGAGCAAGGGAUAAAUUGAUUCUGAAUGUGCCAAAACCAGUGCAGGAAUGCCUCUGGAUUUAUUUCCAGUUUAAUGUUUCCCGCUUAUGAGAAAGGGUCACUGAGAGAUGCAAACAGGUAUCUGCUUGUUAGUGUAAGAUGUUUCCUUCCUGCUCUAUUUUGGGGGUUAGUGUUUACAUGACAAACCACAUGCAAAAUGCACAGAAGCUUCUUCCUCCUGUGCAUCCACACACGAUCUACUGCUUUGCUGGUAUAGAUUACAGAGGGGAAGUUAGAAAUACCUAAGUGUGAGGCAGGCAACACAGCUACCAAAGAAAACUUGUGACCUGCAUCUUGCAUAUCGGAUCUCUAGAGAAUUGUGUAAAGAGAAAUUAAAAUGGACAUGGCUUGCAUUGAAGGUGACUACAUCUGAGCAGGGAAUAUAGUUCUUUCUCUCAGUAUUUGGCCAAAAUGCACUGUAUCAUUAUGAAAAUCAGUCACUAAGCCUGAAAAACUUAAUAGUUUUUCAGUUUAGUUUUAGCAUUAGUUACAUCAGAAGUCUGCACAGAGCUAGAAAAUUAAUGUGAGUCUUUUAUGUACUAGAGCAGUACUCUGGCUUUGCAUUCUCAAACAUUCUGCUUUCCCUACGUGAUUCUGUUACCGAUUUUGCUGAUUUCUACUUUAAAAAGGGUUUUGUUGAUUUUUAUUUUGUAAAUUUUAACAUCUUCAGAAAAUAUCCCGAGUGCACUAAAUAUGUCACCUCCUGCUGCAGAAACGGAUUGGCUUGAUAAUUAAUAGAUUGAUCACUGCUGGCAAUUGGCAUACUAGUCAAAAUUGCACGUAACUGUUUUCUAUACUAAUGCGAUAAAAGUGGGUCUGCUUUUACAGUGGCAAUUUUAGUAGCAAUCUAAAUCAACACCCUGUUGAUGAUAAGACAGAUCUUUCUUCGAACAGAAAAGCAGAGCAAGUGAGGUUGUUAGUAUUAUGAGCACAUUAUUGUCUUUACUUUCUGCAAUCAGCUUUUAUUCAUGCUUUUACAAUAGGUGUAAAUUUUUAUAUCUCCUUAGGCAAGCAGAAGAGUGAACUGAACUUCUAGAAAAUUACUUAAAAUAGGUGUUGCUGAUAAGAAAUAGUCUAGCCCACACAGUGUGGAAAAGGUUAAUGGAUUGGAGUGCUGUGUUCUGCAAAUGGGCUGCCCUGCUAUGCUGGGGCUGGUAGUCAGGCAGCUAAAAAGGAAAGGCUCGACUAGGGAGCUGCUUGAAGUGUGGAAGAGUGUUUUCUGGAUGGGUGUGUUGGGGAACUUGGGAAGGUAGAGAGAGAAUUUCUGUGGCAUGAGGCACUGCUGCAGAGUAAAUGGUGUCUGAAAGAGGACUCACCUUCCAUGAAAGUGGUGGACUUCCUCCUGUGACAGACCUGCCCUCCAGCAGCUGUGCCUUAUUCUCAUCCCUGUAUCUCAGGCUGAGCCAUAACCAGGGGUAGGAGAAGUGAGGGAGAACAGGGAAGUGCCCUUCGUGUAAUACAGUGACAGACAGAAAUACGAGUAACUGGUAAGCUCAGAGUUUGAUGCCCUCAAGCUGUAACAAAAGCCUAGAGCAGCCAGUUUUAUUUUUCAUUUCUCUUGACAGUAUUGCUGUAAAAAAUUGAAAGAAUUCACUGUGAUCUCGCUGUGCUGUAGUUUAAAGAGAACUUGUGGCACAGGAAAGUUUGUUGCUCCAAAUGAUGAUGUUCAUCAAGCUGUACUGACUCAGACAAGAAACACGAUAGCAGCUCACACUUAGAAUAGCUUUCAAAGGUAGAACUUCUGCAUUUCCUGCUUUCUGGGCCUGACCAAAGGAGCCUGGGUCAGUCACAGGGUGCCUUGCAUGCCUCUGUCUGGAGGGAAUUAGGUUUUACACUCACAGUUGAUCUUGGGAUUUCUACUUUACUUAUGUCAGGAGAGCAAUUCCUGUUGGUUCCCAGGAGAAUCUGUUCCCCAGAACAUCCAGACGUGUUAAUUAUUAUUCUUUCUGCUCAUUUAAUGCCUGAACGGUCCCUUGCCAUCCCCUGCAGAACAAGAUCACCCAUAAACCAGUUUGAAUGCUACAUGCAAUGCAUCACUCCCACCUGACAGCUGUGCUAUGUGCAUGGCUGCACGCAGGAGCUGAGUUCCUGAGGUGGACCUGUCUUUCAAAGCACCUUCCCAUCUGCUUGCUUUUUGUAAACUCUCAUGAAAGUUGUUUGCAAAGUGCUCUCAUUGCUGUUUUCAAGCAAGAGAAGGGAAACAGUGCGGUUGGACUAAAAGAAUUAUACCAUAUUAUUCCAACUUCAGUCCUUUUACUUUUUUUCUAAUGGGUAGCAGAAUGAGAAUGUGUCAGUUUAAGUUGACUGGUCUUUGGGCUGAAGGAUCAUGUCAGAAUAUCAAGAGAUGGCUAUACAGUGACAUCUCAGACAAUUUAUAUGUCAAGUCUUGUAUGUCAGUGUAGAGGAUUCUUUGUUAACACAGCUUGGAGUAGUAUAAAUUCAGAUUCUGGGCAGAAAAUCUCCUUGGCAGUCAAUGGGGAAUGGCUAUGACCUUGAAAAGACCGAGGAGGGGAGGGGCUGUGUAUCUACAGUAAGGUGUUAAGUGAUGGGAUCUUGCUGCUGUCCAGCCAUCUGUCCAGCCUUUGAUGGCAAAGAGGAACUGCUCACUGUGCUAAGUUGUGUUUGGUCAUCCUGUGGUUUGGGCAGAUCUGCUGACCUUAUCUGGCUUGCACAUCAAGACCAGCUCCCUCAGACAGCCACCCAGUGCAUCUACCACAGCUUCCAUUGGCAUGGACAGUGUCAUCUCUUCUGUAUGAAUGGGGCUGAAACAGCAUCUGGCACAUUUUCACAUCACUGGGAUCUGUUGUAAAGAGUGAGGGACUGAGCACUCCCACAGCGUGACUGUGAGAUGGGAUUCAGUCACUGUAAGCUAUGGUUCUGCCCUGAUGUGGCUUUUGAGCCAAACUGAAUCAGCCUUCUUCGCCAUAGUGUCUGACAGCAGCAGAGUCGUAAUAUCAGUCACCGACACAGAUUUUGGCUCUCUGUGACUUCAGUUUCAGUGGUGCAUGCUUCUUGUUGGAGUUGUUUGCUCUGGCAGCCAGCACAUAGCAAAGGAGGGCUGUCUGAAUGGAGGUCGUUAGAUGGAGCAGGUGGCAGCUCUCCAUCACCCUGUGCUUUGCCCUUCACUAACAGCGAAUUAACCCCAGAGCUUGUGCUCCUGUGCUGGCUGACAAAUGAGCCAUGUAAACCUGUACUGUCCCUCCCUGCCUGCAUUGGCAGUGCACUUGCCUCUAGCUUUAGAAGAUCUGAACAUAAUGGUCUUAGAGGCACAGAGAUGCACCCCAGGCUCCCACCCCACCAGCGUCUGAGAUUUGGACAAUCUUUGUCUUGAAGCAAAACAAGCUUUCCUCUUUUUGAAAUAUUAAAAGACAUGGCUUGAGUCAGUCACAAUGUUUUUUGAAAUGUUUUAUUUCAAUUUUGACCUUUAAAUAUGUGUACAGAGAAUUAAAAACCAUAACUUUUAGCUUUGAAACAACGUGUCUGAAUAAUUGUGAAAUGUUAAUCUCCCUCUCUUUGCUUACAUGGAGCCAAUCUUCUCAGUUCCUUUCUUCUGCAGGCCCUCACUUUUCACUGGUCUAAGUGAUUCCCUACUUCCUGCUUUA